rnacentral:rRNA from 1 species
UACAGAGGGUGCGAGCGUUAAUCGGAGUUACUGGGCGUAAAGGGUGCGUAGGCGGUUGUUUAAGUUUGGUGUGAAAUCUCCCGGCUCAACCGGGAGGGUGCGCCGAAUACUGAACGGCUAGAGUGCGGGAGAGGAGAGUGGAAUUCCUGGUGUAGCGGUGAAAUGCGUAGAUAUCAGGAGGAACACCGGUGGUGUAGACGGCUCUCUGGACCGUAACUGACGCUGAGGCACGAAAGCGUGGGUAGCAAACAGG